UUAAUCUUUCCCACAAUGCUUUGUGUCCCCGUCCGCUGCUUCCUGUUUAUUGUGAUCCGGUCCCGGUUUACCGUUUAUGUUCCUCCGCCGAGAGCCCGGGCUGUAGCUGCUCCCCAGCAUGGAGGACUCGGAGACAGAGCUGACGGUGUCGGAGGACGCUCUGGGCGCCGACUUCAUCACGGUGGAGCUGGACACGCAGCCCAUUGAGUACGUGGUGAAGUGGGCGGAGGUCGGGUCACGCUUCACCAUCUCCUGCGUGAAGAGGGACCCCGACGACCCCCCCGAACUCAGCGACGAUGCCUUCUUCGCCCCCUACGAGGAGGUUUAUCCAUGCGAGGUGA